rnacentral:snoRNA from 1 species
CUGCAGACAUUUCUAGUAAGGCUCAGCCUGCAGUGGCUCUGAUCUUUCCUGUUGUGUCUGCUAGAGAGAUAUGAGGCUGUUUGAGGCCCUGCUGUGACUGAACAUGGCAGGGUUAUAGGUAAACCUCUGACAAAC